AUGCCUACGGAGGUUGGAAGAUCACCCACGCGCACUUUUAAGUUCCUGGUGGAUAGAGCUUGGCAGAACAUCUUUGGCUGGUCGGACCGGCCCAUGUCCAGGGCAGGAACGGAGACUUUGCUUAAGUCAAAGACCCAAGCAAUUCCGACGUUCAUUUUGAGUUGUUUUCGUCUACCUGUGGCUACUUGUGAGAAGUUCAGGCAGAUCGUAUCGGAUCAGUGGUGGGGCCGAGAAGAUGGAAAGAAGAAGCUUCAUUGGCACUCCUGGGACUGGCUCACGACUCCUAAAUCUCUUGGAGGGAUGGGCUUCCGAGACAUGGCUUUAUUCAACCAGGCGAUGCUGGGGAAACAGGGCUGGCGUUUGCUGACUGAUCCGGGGUCGCUCUGUGCUCGGGUUCUGAAGGGAAGAUACUUCCCGUUCGGCGACUUUUGGAAUGCUACUGUACCGAGCUCGGCCUCGGCAACUUGGCGUGCCAUUCUGCACGGCCAGGAGCUUCUGAAGAAGGGUGUUCAGUGGGCUGUUGGUGAUGGUAGACAUAUUCAUAUCUUGAAGGACCACUGGAUCCCCUCCGUUCCUCCGGCCUUGCUUCAGCCUCUCUCACCAAUCCCUGCCAAUGCCAAGGUUCACUGCUUGUUGGAUGAAGAAAUUGGGUGCUGGAACGAGGAAUCCGUGCGGGCUUUUUUCAGUGAGGAAGUGGCUAACGCUAUCCUGCAGAUCCCAAUAAAUUUGGAUGGUGGAGCUGACUAUGUACGCUAG
rnacentral:rRNA from 1 species